AUUUUGUUGUUAAGUUUAGUUAAAUGACCAAAUUACCCCUAUAAAACAAAUAAAACACAGACCCCCUUUUUCCUCUAUUCUUCUUCUCCUUCAAGGUUAGAAAACCCUACUUCUCAAAUUCUUCUCUCUGCAAUCUUAUAUCCUCCAUACACACACCUGCUGCCAUCACUCUCGUUCUCUCCCGCUGGCGCCGGUUAACUGGCAAGCCGACACCCAAACCCUCACCUUCAUAUACCACCUACCCCCCCCCCCCUCGAUCUUUGUUACUCCAACACACACCCACCACUCACCUUCUUCCUAUAUCUAUAACAACCACACCACCCCCAAUGAAUUCCCGACGGCGGAGGUAGACGGAGAGACGGAGAGAAAGAUCGAGAUGAGAGGGGAAAAUAAGAGAAACGAGAUGCGGAGCCGGCGAGCGCCGUUUUCCGGCGACGAAUCCGCCGUCGGCAGCGGAGCAUUGAUGGCGGCGGUGAUGUUCUGAUCCGACGAGUUUCCGAUGAUUGGUGGUGGUGGUGGCCACUGUUGUUAUUGAAUUGUCGAUCUCUGAAAAAUGGGCACUGUGAAUAAUGGCCAUCUUCUUUACAACUUUUCAAGGACCAUGUCUCCUGUUUAUU